rnacentral:rRNA from 1 species
UGUGCCGGCGAUGAUUCAUUCCAAGUUUCUGCCCUAUCAACUUUCGAUGGUAAAGGUAUUGGCUACCAUGGUGACACGGGUAACGGGGAAUUAGGGUUCGAUUCCGGAGAGGGAGCCUGAGAAACGGCUACCACAUCCAAGGAAGGCAGCAGGCGCGCAAAUUACCCAAUCCCGACACAGGGAGGUAGUGACAAUAAAUAACAAUACAGAGCCCUAGUGGUUUUGUAAUUGGAAUGAGUACAAUUUAAAUCCCUUAACGAGGAAUAAUUGGAGGGCAAGUCUGGUGCCAGCAGCCGCGGUAAUUCCAGCUCCAAUAGCGUAUAUUAAAGUUGUUGCAGUUAAAAAGCUCGUAGUUGGAUUUUGGUAUGGAUGCGGUGGUCCGCCGAUUGGUGAGUACUGCCGUGUGCAUGCCCCCUCUCAUAGACCUGCGGUGGUCUUAACUGGCUGCUGUAUGGGAUAUGGGAUUUUUACUUUGAAAAAAUUAGAGUGUUCAAAGCAGGCCUUUGCUUGAAUACAUUAGCAUGGAAUAAUGAAAUAGGACCUCGGUUUUAUUUUGUUGGUUUCUAAAACCGAAGUAAUGAUUAAUAGGGAUAGUUGGGGGCAUUAGUAUUUAAUUGUCAGAGGUGAAAUUCUUGGAUUUAUGAAAGACUAACUUCUGCGAAAGCAUUUGCCAAGGAUGUUUUCAUUAAUCAAGAACGAAAGUUAGGGGAUCGAAGACGAUUAGAUACCGUCGUAGUCUUAACCAUAAACUAUGCCGACUAGGGAUCGGGGGGACGCGUUUCGCGCUCCUCGGCACCUUAUGAGAAAUCAAAGUUUUUGGGUUCCGGGGGGAGUAUGGCCGCAAGGCUGAAACUUAAAGGAAUUGACGGAAGGGCACCACCAGGGGUGGAGCCUGCGGCUUAAUUUGA